ACCUGCCCUAUGAUAAAAAUUAAAUGGCCGCGAUAUUUUGAUCGUGCAAAGGUAGCAUAAUCAUUAGUUUCUUAAUUAGGAACUGGAAUGAAAGGUUGAACGAGAAAAAAGCUGUCUCAAUUUAAAUUAAUUAAAAUUUUAUUUUUAAGUAAAAAAGCUUAAAUAAUUUUAAAAGACGAGAAGACCCUAUAGAGUUUUAUAUUUAAUUAUUUUUAAAAAAAAUAUAGUAAUUAAAUUUUUAUUUAUAUUUAAAUAUUUAGUUGGGGUGACUAGAAAAUUAAAUAAACUUUUUUUUUAUUUAAACAUUAAUAUAUGAAAAAUUGAUCCAUAUUAUUAUGAUUAAAAGAUUAA
rnacentral:rRNA from 1 species